CAUCAAGAUCCUUCAUCUGAAGUCUCUGGACAUGGACAUUCCUAAAGACAUUCCAAACAGAACACUGGAGAACCCUUAUCCAAUCCCUCACAAACGGCCCGGGUAAUACCUGCUGGUGCAACUGUGUUUGGAGACGCUGUGCAGAGCCGUGAGAUCCGCAGACAUCACAGGCUGUGUGCGUCUUCAGUGGGAGGCUUGGAUCUGUCUGCA